rnacentral:ribozyme from 1 species
ACGAAGGAAACGAAAAGAAAGAAAAUGAAAAGAAAGAAAGGCAAAUGAAGUGCGCGCUUUCUUCUUUUCACUUUGCUUCUUUUCAUUUUGCUUCGCUCGUGCCUCACUCUCUUCACUCACCACGUUCUUUCAUUCAUUUCGCUUUGGUUCAAUUCACGCUUCCAUUCCACUUUGUUCCAUUUCAUUGUAAUUGAACCAAGCGAAAGGAAAGAAAGAGGAGUGUGAGUGAUGAGUGAGAGGAACGAACGGAACUGCUGCGGUUGGUGUCUGACUCGUGUACCGGUUUUGUGUUGUGUUUUGUGUUCCUUUGCAAUUAAAAUGAAAACAAGCGGAGCGAAAUGAGCGCGUGUUUCAUUUUAAUUAAA